rnacentral:rRNA from 1 species
UGGGGAAUAUUGGACAAUGGGCGCAAGCCUGAUCCAGCCAUGCCGCGUGAGUGAUGAAGGCCCUAGGGUUGUAAAGCUCUUUCACCGGUGAAGAUAAUGACGGUAACCGGAGAAGAAGCCCCGGCUAACUUCGUGCCAGCAGCCGCGAUAAUACGAAGGGGGCUAGCGUUGUUCGGAUUUACUGGGCGUAAAGCGCACGUAGGCGGACUAUUAAGUCAGGGGUGAAAUCCCGGGGCUCAACCCCGGAACUGCCUUUGAUACUGGUAGUCUUGAGUUCGAGAGAGGUGAGUGGAAUUCCGAGUGUAGAGGUGAAAUUCGUAGAUAUUCGGAGGAACACCAGUGGCGAAGGCGGCUCACUGGCUCGAUACUGACGCUGAGGUGCGAAAGCGUGGGGAGCAAACAGG